AUUCUACUCCCUCCGUUGCACAAUACAUGCCUUCUAUUUGUCAAGAUAUAUAUGUAUCUAGACAUGUCUUAGUAUAUAGGUACAUCCAUUUUUGGACAAAUGGAAGUCAAGUAUUUUGGAACGGAGGGAUUACACA
rnacentral:pre_miRNA from 1 species